rnacentral:rRNA from 1 species
ACAGACGGCCACCACAUCCAAGGAAGACAGCAGGCGCGUAAAUUACCCAA